rnacentral:rRNA from 1 species
CGUGGGAACGUGCCCUUUGGUUCGGAACAACUCAGGGAAACUUGAGCUAAUACCGGAUGUGCCCUUCGGGGGAAAGAUUUAUCGCCAUUGGAGCGGCCCGCGUCUGAUUAGCUAGUUGGUGGGGUAAAGGCCCACCAAGGCGACGAUCAGUAGCUGGUCUGAGAGGAUGAUCAGCCACAUUGGGACUGAGACACGGCCCAAACUCCUACGGGAGGCAGCAGUGGGGAAUCUUGCGCAAUGGGCGAAAGCCUGACGCAGCCAUGCCGCGUGAAUGAUGAAGGUCUUAGGAUUGUAAAAUUCUUUCACCGGGGACGAUAAUGACGGUACCCGGAGAAGAAGCCCCGGCUAACUUCGUGCCAGCAGCCGCGGUAAUACGAAGGGGGCUAGCGUUGCUCGGAAUUACUGGGCGUAAAGGGAGCGUAGGCGGACUGUUAAGUUAGAGGUGAAAGCCCAGGGCUCAACCUUGGAAUUGCCUUUGAUACUGGCAGUCUUGAGUACGGAAGAGGUAUGUGGAACUCCGAGUGUAGAGGUGAAAUUCGUAGAUAUUCGGAAGAACACCAGUGGCGAAGGCGACAUACUGGUCCGUUACUGACGCUGAGGCUCGAAAGCGUGGGGAGCAAACAGGAUUAGAUACCCUGGUAGUCCACGCCGUANACGAUGAGUGCUAGUUGUCGGCNNNCAUGCAUGUCGGUGACGCAGCUAACGCAUUAAGCACUCCGCCUGGGGAGUACGGUCGCAAGAUUAAAACU